CUUCUAGUCUCCACAGGCACAUGUGGCAUACAUACAUACGGACAUUCACAUAUAUAAAAUUAAAAAUAAUCUUAAAAAACUGAGACCAAUUUUGCUUCCAGUCAAGCUUUUUAGUUUGAGUAACCUCUGACAUAGCCUGGGAAUGACGUGGUGUAUAGCAACCUGAGUGAUUCCAGCCUGUGACUGUUAGGAAAUAAGCACAUUAAAUAAUUGUCACCCAUUCAUUCAUCAUUAAAACAUAUAGGAAAAUACCAUGGGCCCAUCUGUAGUAACCAUUCUUAGAAGACUAUUGAUUCUCUCGCUACCUGAGUUGUGAAAAGAUGAGUUAUUCCAAGUCAGGGGUGGUAUAGUGAUAGAAGCUUUUGGAGACUCUGUAGGAAUCAUGUGGUGGGGGGUGGGGUCCCAGCUAUCACCCAGAGUGUCACAGUGACAAGUAACAGAGUGUGUUUUAGGAUAGGAAAUCAGAAUGUAUUCCUAUCUGCAAGUUUCAUAAAAAGCCAAGGUGGUGUAGGACAAGGUACUUAGAAAAGCAAGCCUUGCGUUCUUUCACUGACAAUAUCAGUAUCAGUAGUCUAAUAAGUAGGUAUCAGACUACUUGAUACCUUAAACUUUUUGCAUGAAAGCAUCUUGUUUUGGUAUGAAAAUGAGAGUUUGAGACUAGAGUGUGAUUCUCCUAACUUAGUAGUUGAGAAAAGGGACCCUAUGGUGAGACAAAUCCUAGUCGAAAUCUGCUGUCAUUUUUGAGCAGUAGAAUGUGAUCAGCUGCCUGCUUUGGUUUUUCUGUAAAGUAGGAAUGAUGUAAUGAUACCUGCUUUGUAGACCUAUGUAAAAGAACAGGGAAAUACAGAGUAAAUGUCACAGAACUUGGCUCAGUACGUGACCAGUGAAUUGACUAUUAUUUUGAUAAGCUAAGAAGACGACUGGGUAGAAGAGUUGGAAUCCUGGCAGGGAAGGAAUGGAAGCAGUGGUCCCAGUGAGGAUGCAUGCCCCUGACCAGCAUGGUGAUGGUGAAACCCCAGACGAGCUAAGAAAAUGUGGAAGGAUAUGCAGCUGACAAAAUCUACAUUUGGGUCUGCUCUGGUGCCUUCCUGAUGCCUAUUUUUGGAAAACAGCUGGAGGAGAUUAUUGACUUAUGAAGGGAUGCAGAUGCGGAUGAUCGUCUAGGAGAGCUGGUUGUGGAAAGCAUAAAA